CGAGGAUUCCCUCAGUAACGGCGAGUGAACGGGGAAAAGCCCAGCGCUAAAUCCUGCUGCUCUAACGGGUAGCGGGAGGUGUAGCGUAUAGUAGGCGAGUUGUUCCUUGACGGUUGUCGACUUAAGUUCUCCUUGACUGGGGUUCCAUAGAAGGUGAAAGGCCUGUUCAGUCGGCUGACCGUCUUGGACAUUUUCGUCCUACUUGGAGUCGGGUUGUUUGGGAACGCAGCCCAAAUUUGGUGGUAAACUUCAUCUAAGGCUAAAUACGGCCACGAAUCCGAUAGCAAACAAGUACCGUGAGGGAAAGUUGAAAAGUACUUUGAAGAGAGAGUUCAAGAGGACGUGAAACCGGUAGGAUGGAAACGGAUAGAGCCAACGAACUGGGCCCGUAUUCAGCUAGUCGACUCGUCGGCGGUGCGCCCUACGUCUUGCUAAAAGGCGUACGGGUGUAUGCGGUCGGCGGCCGGCUAGUGCAUUUGCGGGCUAUGUGCGCUGAGGCGUGUGCUGGAGCGCUGUAAACUGUUCGGCAGAGGCCUCGUCCCUUCUGGGGGCGAGAAACCUACGGGCGGGGAGCAGUGUUUCUGGUGCACGUAAAGAAAUAGCCGGGGCAACGCGCUAUUCCGCUGUCAGGCUAGCUGCUUGGUCGGUCGCAUGCGACUAGGCCUUGUUGGCUGGUCCGUACGGUGGGGUAGUGAUCCGUGCUAGACCUCGGUGUAAAAGUUGGUCAUCUCUCCGACCCGUCUUGAAACACGGACCAAGGAGUCUAGCGUAUUCGCGAGUCAUUGGGUGUCAAAACCCAUAGGCGAAAUGAAAGUGAAGGUCUCUUCCGGAGGCUGAUAUGCGAUCCGGGGCGUUUCGGCGCUCCGGAGCAGCAUAGCCCCUUCUCGACUGCUUGCAGUGGGGAGGCGGUAGAGCGAAUGCGCUGGUACCCGAAAGAUGGUGAACUAUGCCUGAGCAGGAUGAAGCCAGAGGAAACUCUGGUGGAGGUCCGAAGCGCUUCUGACGUGCAAAUCGAUCGUCUGACUUGGGUAUAGGGGCGAAAGACUAAUCGAACCAUCU
rnacentral:rRNA from 1 species